UUCAAUGGCGGUUCAGGCAGGGGAGGCUUCGGCCUCGCCGGAACGAUCGUCCCCGGUACUGCGAACCCUGUCUGAAUCGCCACCAUC
rnacentral:antisense_RNA from 1 species